CUGACAGCUCUCCCGGCCUGUCGGGGCAGGAGCCGCGGGGAGAUGAAAGGCCUGCCCUUCACGCUCCCCCAGGCCAGAGAGCGCACCCUCACACCAGCCGACUCUGCCUGCUGGGCUGGGGUUGACGGUGGGAGUGGGGGGACAACACCAAACGCUGACUUUGAAGUGAUCUCCAUUUUCCAUGGACAAUGUGCUCAUGUUUUUAAAAUUCUGUUGAGGCAUCCAAGCGUUCACUGCAGCACUAUUUACAAUGGCCAAGAUGUGGAAGCAAACUAAAGGUCCAGUGACAAAGCAAUGGAUGAAGAAAAUGUGGUACAGAUGCACAAUGGAAUAUUACUCAGCCACAAAAAAGAGUUUGCAAUAACAUGGGUGGACCUAGAGCUUGUCAUACUCAGUGAGACACAGAAACAAAAGCAACUACCCAAGAGAUCCUGAAGCGAGGAACAUGUCCAGCCAGGAGGAGAACCCAGCUCUUCUAAGGAUCCUGUAGUCUUCUCAGGAAGGCCACAGCCUCCACUGAGAACAGGCCAGUGCACGUGUUUCCCUAGUCAACAGAGAACCAGAAACCUCCCCUCUGCUAGGAGCUGGGGAGAGGAGCCAGCGAGGGGACUGGCUGAACAGCGGGUGCUGCAGGAUAACAGCUGGCUGUGUGCAGGGUUGUGAGAACACAUCUCUGCUUUGUGGUGUUUGCCAUCAUUUUCUAGGGCAUAAACGCUCCCACCAUGGCUGAUUUCAAGCUACCAGCAUUAUGCCACUGACUGCAGAGCUGGGAAGAAGUGAACACAAUCAGCUCUCGCGAGUUUGCACAAACUGGCUCCUGCACACCACUGGCCCAGGGUGAGGAAGGAGGAAGCCCUUCUGUGGAGCACAACUUGUCCCAGACUACGGGAGCCACGGACACCCCUUUAGGAGCAAGCUGAUGGUAUCUGGAGAGGAAAGAGGGCUGGGCUGAGAGGGAAGCGGAAGAGUACAGAUGAGAAAACACGAGUUGAGUCCAGACUUGCCCAUCAGGGCCCAGCACACAGUCACUGCCACUCAGACCCAAUCAGGUUCAGCCAGUUGGGUGUCCUGCUUCUAGCAACCACUCCUGAUUUGGCAAAUAUUUAUGUGGCAUGUUACUAAGGACGGCCUCCCAACACCCGAGGGUGAAAGGCCCAUGAGGCAACUUCUAGGGGAAAGGUCCCAGGAUUCCUACAACCCUGGGAAAAUAAGGUCCAGGGCCCAGUAGGAACUGCUAGACUAGGAGAUGAAGUUGGGGAUUUACCUGGACCAGCUCCCUGCCCCUCCUCAGCCCCUCUCACCAGCAUCCCUCUCAUGGCCAUGUGAAGCAACAAGCCCUCGGGAGGGGGUUGAAUCUUCUGCCUCCAUCCCCAAGGAACUUCAGCCUCUUGUUCAGUCACCAAGUUGUGUCCAACUCUUUGCAACCCCAUGGACUGCAGUAUGCCAGCCUUCACUAUCUCCCAGAAUUUGCU